AUCCAGCUAACGAGUCCCAAAUAGGACGAAACGCGCGUCCAAAUGAAU
rfam:Schistosoma mansoni strain Puerto Rico chromosome 2, complete genome